AGAUAAUGGCCAAUGGCUCUGCAAUCACAUUGGCCAAUUCCCUCAGCACCCUGGGAUGCAGCGCAUCCAGCCCCAUGGACUUGUGCAUGUCCAGCUUUUCUAAAUAGUCCUCAGCCUGUUCUUUCACCGCUGAGGGCUGCUCACUUCCUCCCCAUACUGUGUUGCCCAGGACAGCUGUGUGGGAGCUGACCUUUUCUGUGAAGACCAAGGCAAAAAAAAGUAUUGAGUACUUCAGUCGAAGGAUGCCAAAGGCUGAAAUUUCACCUCUUUAAUUUUAACUUGAUCGAACUGAGAGCUGGUGUGUCUAUGAUGGCAUUUUGGAAUUAACAAAGGAAAGGAAGUGGAAAUAUUCAAGCAUGGAUGAAGAGUUCUCCAAGUUUCUUGAAAAGUAAAAUAUACCAAGCAGUUUAUUGCUGCUAUACAACUCUCAUGGCAACACUGAAGACAAGGUCAACUAAUUGUAACCUAUAGGUGCCUGUCUCAUCUUUAGAGUCAUCACAUUUCAGUAGGGGCAUGUUGCAGCUUCCUGGCACCCUUGCAUCUGUCUCUGGUUAAGCAGCACUUCAUGCUCAGGUUCCAGGAUGUCCUUUUCUGCAAAGAAUUCAAACAUCAUUAUUUAUGUAAAAGUUUAAUUUGUGAAACAUGUACCCAUUUCAGUUUUCCAUCUUUGUCAGUACGGUAUACCAAUGGGCUAAGGCAGUCCAUUAUGGAGUAAGGGCCUGUCCAUUUUGAUUCCAGUGAGUGCCCCUUUUCCCCAUUUUAAGGUACAUGACUUGGUCUCCUGUUUCCCACAGGGCUGCCUUUGUGGGCCUUUGUUUCUGAAUUUUGUUGUUCAUGUGUUCGAUGGCCUGAUUAACCCUAUACUGGAGGAUGGUUUAAUCUUCUUGUAAAUGUUUGAGCCAUUGAAAAUAAUCAUGCUGGAUUAUAUUAGAGCUCUCUUCUUGACCCUGUACCAGGUAACUAGGAUCAAUCAUUAGUUGCAUUGGAUAUCCAAACAAAAUUUGGAAGGGUUGGAUUUUUGUUCUUAGUCUAGUACUGCUGUGGAUGGCAGCCAAAAUCAGAAGCAGUUUAUCUGGUCAGUCUUUUCCUGUGUGAUUUAGUACCUUCUGGGGCGCUUCCUUAAUAGUGCGGUUCAUGCGCUCUGCUUGGCCUGAGGACUGAGGCCAGUAUGGUAUACAGAGCUUUUGUUUAAUUCCCAAGACUUGUAUCAUUGUUGUAAAGAUUUCUCCUACAAAGGCUCCCCCGUUGUCAGAAUCUAUUAUUUAGGGGGUGCCAUAUCUACAUACUCCCUCAUUAAAAAAAAUUUUAGCCACUACCCUGGUGCUAUUAUCUUUAGUAGGAAAUGCCUCCACCCAUCCAGAAAAGGAAUCAAUUAUCAUCAAUAAAUACUGGAAUCCUUCCUUACUCCUUGGUAAUUUAUCAGUAAAAUCAAUUUGAACCCAAGCUUUCAUUGGCGCAGCCAGUGCCAGUGCAGAGGGCAAGCCUUGUCCUGAGCGCACCACAUCCAAUUUCGCACCCAUGUUUUAACAUCAUCUUCCAUACACUCCCGAACUGCUACUUGCUUUAGCCUUCUUGAAGUCCCUUCCACUCCUUCAUGCAUAAACUGAUGGGCUACAUUAAGUAACUCCUGUCUUUCUAUUUUCCUGGAACUCGGUUAGGGAGGUCUGUAGUGCCAUCUGUUGGCUCAUAUGUGUCAGCACAGACAUUUUUUUUCUGACUUCUGGUUACAACUGCUAUGUCAUGCUGUCGGACUAUUGUAUCUACUCGAUUAUUCCAGGUGGCCUCCAUACCCAUUCCUUUACUGUGUGCCCUCAAAAAAGGAGUACUUGUGGCACCUUGGAGACUAACAAAUUUAUUUGAAUAUUCGAUGAAGUGAGCCGUAGCUCAUGAAUUAAUAAUCCUUUUCUUUUCGUGGAUACAGACUAACACGGCUGCUAUUCUGUGUGCCCUUACAUGUUGCACCUUUAACUGUUUAGGGUUCUUUGUUACCCACUGGUUAAUCCAUUUCCAUCUGCUGUUUUCCACCCGUUCCUAUACCAAUCAUGUAUCCAAAACUGUAUCCCCUUCACACAAAAAUCACUUGCAGCAUAAAUAUACAUGUGCCUGGGGCGAAUAUUGAUAUUGCCUUAAUAAAUAAUUACCUGAUAAAUUGCGUGGAGCUCGGCAUGCUGAGCCGAUCCAUGGUCUAAAUGUCCCUGAAUGACUUCCUCUUCUAAGUUAAUGGUAGCAUAUUUUACACAUCUUUUUCCUUUUACUACCAUUGCACUCCCAUCAGUAAACCGGAUGUGCUUUUCUUGGCCCACAGUAUCUAAUUCUUCCAGUCGGGGUGCCUCUGCCAAGGCAAUUCUUUGCUCCAGAGUGACCUCUGGACACUGUCGAUUCCCUUUAUCAACUAGGGCAUGUGUUAGCAUGUCUGGCUUGGACACUGUUUCUGUGGUUACCCCUCUAUUAAUUAAAGUAAGCAUCCAUUGAGCCAUUUGGGUGUUUGAGACUUUACCUCCCAUCAAUCUCCCUGAUAAAAUGUACUUGAGAGGAGUAUGGCUGCUUUGGAUAGUAAUAGAGGCUGUUCUUGUAAGAGGCUCAAAAGAUUGUACUGCCCAGACAGCUGCUAGACACUAAUGUACACAGGGAUCAAAAUUUAUUUCUGCUCCUUGUAAUUUCCUGGAUUCAUCUGCUACUGGCCCUAGCUUUCCCUCUUCAUUGUUUUGUAACAGUAUGGCAGCCAAGGCCAUGUUAUUAGCUGCCAAACAAAUAACAAAAAUUCAUCAGGGAAACACAGGGCUGUGGCUGUGAGAGCCUUCUGUUUUAGCGGGGUUAAAGCGGAGUCCUGCUCUUUUCCCUAUUCCCAUUUUGUCUUUUUCUUUAGCAGUUUCCACAAAAGUGAGUUAUUUUGCAUAUUUAUAAAUGUGUGGUCUAAGAAAAUUGAAUCCUCCUAGCCGUACUCUUAAGGAGUAGGCAUUGAUAGGCGCCAGCAUUUCUACUAGUGCCCUUACCUUCCUCUGAUCUACCUGUCUCCCUUCUUGUCCCGUUUUUCCUUUAUGUCACAUCCUUAGGUCUCAUUUUUGGACAGGUACAUAUUUGGUGCUGUCAGACAUUUUGAAAAAAAAAAGUUUUAAAAUGUUUUUGAUUUAAUUUAUCCUUAUCGGAAGCAUUAGAACUAAAUGAAUAAAUGUAGCUUUCAUGCCUUUUCCUCAUUUUUUUUACAGAAAUUAUGCUUGUUACACUUUUUAGUGCAAUUCUAAAUAAAGUCUAAUAAACAGGU